CAGUAGCCGCGGUAAUACGUAGGGUGCAAGCGUUAAUCGGAAUUACUGGGCGUAAAGCGUGCGCAGGCGGUUAUAUAAGUCAGAUGUGAAAUCCCCGGGCUCAACCUGGGAACUGCAUUUGAGACUGUAUGGCUAGAGUGUGUCAGAGGGGGAUGGAAUUCCGCGUGUAGCAGUGAAAUGCGUAGAUAUGCGGAGGAACACCGAUGGCGAAGGCAAUCCCCUGGACCUGUACUGACGCUCAUGCACGAAAGCGUGGGGAGCAAACAGGAUUAGAUACCCCCGUAGUCCCUGUCUCUUAUAC
rnacentral:rRNA from 1 species